rnacentral:lncRNA from 1 species
CCUCCAGAGACCUGGGAAUGGCUGCCCUGCCACCAAACCAAUUGUCUCCCAGAAAAAGAUACAUCAUGUGAGAAGCCUCAUUACUGCCCUGCAUCCAUCUCCCUGAUAGCUCUCAAGGACAACUGCCAAGCACAUGUGUGAUGCCUUGGGAACAGAAAGCAGCAAGAGUCAUGUAUUCUCCAACUCACAUCAGCCCUUGACUCCAGCCUCUCUGUGAACCACUUUCAUCUCUGCCGCCAACUCACUGCAGUCCCAUGAGCACUUGUCCCCGGCUAAACAGUGUGCAGUAGCUGCGGAGUGGCUUCCAAAGUCCCACUCUCCUGGAUACGAAGCCCUCUCUUGGCUUAGCUCACAAUGCCAACCUCCACUCCCUUGUUUCAUUGUCUCUGCCAAACCAAACAAGUUUUGUCCCUCGCCUGGCCUAUUCCCAGAGGCAGAGGAGCCUGCCUCUCCGCCUCCACAGAGACUAAGGUAUUUCUACCUUGCUUUUUCAGGUCCAACUCAAAUGCUGCCUCCUUAAUAACCAUUCAUUCUCUCAACACUGACUGGGUCUUUAUCGUAUUCCAAGCAUUGAAUAAAAGGUCCUUGUUGACAUG